rnacentral:tRNA from 1 species
CAGCUGGUAGUGUAGUGGUUUAUGCUGCAGUCUUUGGAUCUGAAGGUUAUCAGUUCCAAUCUCACCUCCAGCUGU